rnacentral:rRNA from 1 species
UACGAAGGGGGCUAGCGUUGUUCGGAAUCACUGGGCGUAAAGCGCACGUAGGCGGCUUGCUAAGUCAGGGGUGAAAUCCUGGAGCUCAACUCCAGAACUGCCUUUGAUACUGGCGAUCUUGAGUCCGGGAGAGGUGAGUGGAACUGCGAGUGUAGAGGUGAAAUUCGUAGAUAUUCGCAGGAACACCAGUGGCGAAGGCGGCUCACUGGCCCGGUACUGACGCUGAGGCACGAAAGCGUGGGGAGCAAACAGG